ACCCGCUGAACUUAAGCAUAUCAAUAAGCGGAGGAAAAGAAACUAACAAGGAUUCCCCUAGUAACGGCGAGUGAAGCGGGAAGAGCUCAAAUUUGAAAUCUGGUGGCCUCAGGUCAUCCGAGUUGUAAUCUAUAGAAGUGUUUUCCGUGCUGGCUCAUGUACAAGUCCCUUGGAACAGGGCGUCAUAGAGGGUGAGAGUCCCGUCCUUGACAUGAACUACCAGUGCUCUGUGAUACAUUUUCAACGAGUCGAGUUGUUUGGGAAUGCAGCUCAAAGUGGGUGGUAAAUUCCAUCUAAAGCUAAAUAUUGGCGAGAGACCGAUAGCGAACAAGUACCGUGAGGGAAAGAUGAAAAGCACUUUGGAAAGAGAGUUAAACAGUAUGUGAAAUUGUUGAAAGGGAAACGAUUGAAGUCAGUCGUGCUCUUUGGAUUCAGCCGGUUCUGCCGGUGUACUUCCUUUGAGUGGGGUCAACAUCAGUUUUGAUCGCUGGAUAAAGGCAGGAGGAACGUAGUACCCUCGGGUAAACUUAUAGCCUCUUGUCACAUACAGUGGUUGGGACUGAGGAACGCAGCACGCCUUUAUGGCCGGGAUUCGUCCACGUACGUGCUUAGGAUGUUGACAUAAUGGCUUU
rnacentral:rRNA from 1 species